UACAGAGGUCCCGAGCGUUGUUCGGAUUUACUGGGCGUAAAGGGUGCGUAGGCGGUUGGGUAAGUCUGAUGUGAAAUCCCCGGGCCCAACCCGGGAACGGCAUUAGAAACUGCCCGGCUAGAGGGUUGGAGGGGGGACUGGAAUUCCCGGUGUAGCAGUGAAAUGCGUAGAUAUCGGGAGGAACGCCAGUGGCGAAGGCGAGUCCCUGGACAACCCCUGACGCUGAGGCACGAAAGCUAGGGGAGCAAACAGG
rnacentral:rRNA from 1 species